rnacentral:rRNA from 1 species
CUUGACGACCAUAGAGCAUUGGAACCACCUGAUCCCAUCCCGAACUCAGUAGUGAAACGAUGCAUCGCCGAUGGUAGUGU